AUUGAACGCUGGCGGCGUGCUUAACACAUGCAAGUCGUGCGGUAACAGGCGUAGCAAUACGUUUGUAAAGCGGCGAACGGGUGAGGAAUACAUGGGUAACCUACCCUCGAGUGGGGAAUAACUAGCCGAAAGGUUAGCUAAUACCGCGUACGCUCCUUGGACUUCGGUUCAGGGAGGAAAGCGAUACCGUGGGUAUCGCGCUCUUGGAUGGGCUCAUGUCCUAUCAGCUUGNGGUGAGGUAACGGCUCACCAAGGCUUCGACGGGUAGCUGGUCUGAGAGGACGAUCAGCCACACUGGCACUGCGACACGGGCCAGACUCCUACGGGAGCAGCAGUAAGGAAUAUUGCGCAA
rnacentral:rRNA from 1 species